GAUGAACGCUGGCGGCGUGCUUAACACAUGCAAGUCGAACGGAAAGGCCCAAGCUUGCUUGGGUACUCGAGUGGCGAACGGGUGUGUAACACGCGGGUGUUCUGUCCUGCACUUCGGGAUAAGCCUGGGAAACUGGGUCUAAUAUCGGAUAGGACGUUGGGUUGGAUACCAUUGUGGAAAGUUUUUUCGUUGUGGGAUGAGCUCGCGGCGUAUCAGCUUUGCGGUGGGGUAUUGGCCUACCAACGCGUAGAGGGGUAUCCGGCCGGAGAGAGUGUACGGCCGCUCUGGGCCCGAGAGACGGGCCAGAGUCCGACAGGUGGCGGCAGGGGGGAAUAUUUCACAGAGGGAGCCAGCCUGAGGCAGCGACGUCUCGGGGGGGAUGACGGCCGUUGGGUUGGAAAAUCCUAUGUGUAGGGAAGAAGCGAUUUUGUGACGGUACCUGAAGAAGAAGCACCGGCUAACUACGUG
rnacentral:rRNA from 1 species